GACGGUGUCAACGGGGCACUUCCGGGAUCAGUUUUGCUGAGGCGUUCCUUAAGUGAGGCGUUCAACUUUGUCGUCUUUCUGCCACCGGCAGUCACUUAGUGUGGUCUCGGGGGCAGCAGUCUAGGCAGGGAUGCCCAAACCUCCCUCUCAUCAGCCACCUCCUCCAGCUCCACCAGGGAAAUAUCAAGGCGUUCUCAGGACAGCUGAGAGACGUAACCUCUCCAGUGUAUCCUGGGUCUGUUCCGGGGCCUCCUCCCGAUUGGACAUGCCUGAAACACUUCACCAGAGAGGCAUCCUAGCCUGAACCACCUCAGCUGGCUCCUUGCGAUGUGGAGGAACAGCGGAUCUACUUUGAGCCCCUCCUUAAUGUCAGCUCCUCACCCAAUCUCUAAGGCUGAGCCCAGGCACUCUGAAGGAAACUCAUUUACAUCAUUACAUUCCAGAUGAGUGGAAAAUUACAGAUGUUUCUAUACAUUUUCUAUACAUUUUGUGUUACAUGUCAGUCUUAGUAUUUUCCUUGAUUGUUAGGUUUUUGCUUCUUGAAUCUGUGCUCUGUUUUUUUCAGGUCUCCUUGUUUGAUUUGUCUGUACCCAACUUCUUCACCUUGUACCUCAGAAUUACAUUAUGAUCCAUACCAAGUACAAUAAAUUCCUUUCCUGCAAUGACA